GUGGGCAAAGGGAAGGUAAAACAUCCUCAUAUGCAACCUCUGUGCAAACACAAGUGGCGGCAGCCAGAGGCUUCAGUCAGCUCCUCAGAGCUUCCUAAGAAGUGCUCAGGAGUUGGAAGGUCAUGUCUGCAAAGAGAAGAAAAUCUGCAGACAUGGCAAAGGCAGAAAAAGAAAUGACAAGCUCCGUCCCUACUACAUGGAACACAAAAAAGAAGUUCCAGGAUCCCAACGCACCAGAGAAGGAGCCUCCUUUGGCCUUUUUCUUGCUCUGUCCUGAGCACUGACCAAAAAUUAAAGGAGAACAACCCAGCCAAUGCACUGGCGAUGUUGGAAAGAACUGGGCAAGAUGUGGAAUAAUAACGCUGCUGCCGAUGCCAGGCAGACCCAAGACCAGAGGGCUGCUAAGCUGAAAGAAAACACAAAAAGUCUAUUACUGCAUAUGAACUCAAGAAAAGCCUGAUGGGGUGAAAAAGGCAGUCAUCAAGGCUGCAAAAAAGCAAGAAAAGGAAGAGGAAGAAGAAGAGAAAGAUGAAGACGAAAAGGAGGAGUAGAAAAGAAAAUGAAGAUG
rnacentral:lncRNA from 1 species